rnacentral:rRNA from 1 species
AUUGGUAAAAGCUCUGUUGCCGGGGAAAAAGGAAAGGAAAGGAGGAAAUGCUUUUCUUUGGAUGGUACCCCGGCCAGAAAGUCACGGCUAACUACGUGCC